AUUGAACGCUGGCGGCAGGCCUAACACAUGCAAGUCGAACGAGUGGCGGACGGGUGAGUAAUGUCUGGGAAACUGCCUGAUGGAGGGGGAUAACUACUGGAAACGGUAGCUAAUACCGCAUACCAUGGGAUGUGCUCAGAUGGGAUUAGCUAGUAGGUGGGGUAACGGCUCACCUAGGCGACGAUCCAUAGCAGGUCUGAGAGGAUGACCAGCCACACUGGAACUGAGACACGGUCCAGACUCCUACGGGAGGCAGCAGUGGGGAAUAUUUGACAAGGGGCGCAAGCCUGACGCAGCCAUGCCGCGUGUAUGAAGAAGGCUUUCGGGUUGGAAAGUACUUUCAGCAGGGAGGCGUUACCUACCCAGGAAGCACCGGCUAACUCCGUGCCAGCAGCCGCGGUAAUUC
rnacentral:rRNA from 1 species